CACCAGAAGUCGCAUUAAUGGUAAGAAGUACUUUAUUCAUCAUUGGUUAGCAACAGCAUAACAACGUUAUUAAAAAGAAUUCAGAGACUUAUUGUACUUUAAAAGUGUUGGUCUUACAUAAAAUGCACACAUUUACUUGUAUUUAGUUUUAAACAUAUUGUAUGGCUCUCACGGAAUUACAUUUUCAAAUAUGUGGCGUUCAUGGCUCUCUCAGCCAAAAAAGUUCCCGACCCCUGUUCUAGAGCGUUGGCCCGAUGUUCAUCAAAUUUGAUUCAGAUCAUCUUCAGACCAUGCCAGCAAAAAGUUAUGGUUCAUAUACUUAACUGUUAUAUACUUAAUUGUCUCUGCAAGGCUUUGGCAUAUUGACACCAAACUUUGUGUGUCAUUGAAACCGCACAGUGACCACAUCACAUCACAUUAAUUUGGUCACAGCGUCACCUAUUGAUCAAAUAUGAUAAGCAAUUAAAUCAUAUAACAAUUGAUUGUAUUUAUGAACGUUCAACCAUUUUGCCUAAAAUCAUAUACAAAUGUCUAAAACUGCCUUUUUUUUUUUUUUUUUUUUUUUUAAUUUUUUUUUUACAGUUGGUCUUGAUGCUCCCUGCCAUGCUUGUUUAGCUCCUUGUUUAGCUCUUCAGUGCUUGGCCCCUUAAUUGCUGCUUCCAGCUAUAUUUAUUAUUGUUAUUAUUAUUAUGGAUUAUUUGGAGUUGUUUGGGGAACAGUGACACAUGGCACUCUCACAUUCCUAAUAGAUUUAUCACUUAAGGUACGUUCACACAUAGAGCGACUCACAGCGACAAUGCGACCAGAGACGUUCAUUUUCAAUGAGAUCUGGCGACUUCCGGCGACAUGCGCGGCAGCGACCAUUGGUGACCAGAUGUGGGCGUGUCCAGCGACGCGACAAAGUUUAACUUUAUGCAAAUUUGGAGCGACUUGGUGCAGCGACUAUCAAUGGGAGUGAAGAAGAGUGAGCACACACCACCCCUGCUCACUAGCAGAGGCAGCGCCAUUGUGGCAGUAGCCAAUUAGCUUAGCUAAGCUUAGGAUCUUUGUGGGUUUAAAGCAAAAUUUUUUUAUUAUUAAAUAAAUAAAUAAAUAAAUAACAAUGAAACAUUCACUUUUUGUUGCAAUUCAGCAAAAUCCCAGUGUAGCUCCUAUCUUUGGUGAAGUGUCCGGCUUGUCGCUGCUUCGGCGCCCGGGAACAAGCAGCACCAAGAAACAGCACUUCACCCAGAAAACACGGAGGCCACAGCCAAAUAGCUGCAGUCCAGCUCCCGGUCACCAUCGAACAGAUAGUGAAUGACAACCUGAUGGUGACACUCACUUACUGAGAUAGGAGCUACACCCGGAGUCUGUCCAGAAAGUGACCCGGAGUGUGUUUCAUUAUUAUUAUUUUGCUUUAAACGCACUAAGGCCAUAAGCUAAGCUAAUUGGCACUUGUGCUUUUGCCGCAGUUAGACGGCUGAUCACACACCGCUUCUCCUUCAUCUCGUAAGAUAUGAUGCAUAUAUACACUGGUGAAUUUUAUAUCCUCUCUCUCCAAAAUGUUUUAUUCCAGCAGCAAGAAAACUUGUUUGUUGUCAAAAGUGGAAUGUUAGUUGUACCACCCAUGUUACUAUGGCAACCAGUAAUAGGAACGCCUAACUGCGACUUCAUAGUACAGUGACUGGUGACUUGUAGUGAUAAAAUUGCUGUAUGUAUGAAGGCAGCAUUAUGCAGCGCAGUGUCCGUCACAUAUUAGAAGAUCUUUACAGAGGAAGCUGACAGUCGCAUCAUUGACAUCAUGUUUCGAGUUUCGUGCUCGGCCACGGUUAGCGAUCACACUAGAUGUGUACCGUGCGUGAGUCCAACUCUUCAAGCGGGCCUGGGCAUGGUAUGGAGCGAUCACCACCAAACUGGACUUUGGGAGUCAAACGUGCUCGUGCACGGUACCCAUCGUCUAGUGUGGAUCAGUUUAUUAACCUUCUCAAAGGGCAAGGAGUUAACCUGGAUGACCGCAGUCUGGAACCUAGGAGGGGAACACACCUCAACUCACGAUCGAUUCACUGAACUGUUCCUCCACGUCUUUGACCACGCUCCAGAAGUCCAGUGACAGGUGUAUUUUAGGAGGUGGGAGGAAACCAGAGAACCCGGAGGAAACCCACAUGGACAUGGGGAGAACAAGCACAGAAACUCCACACAGACAGAAGCCCGAGCUCAGGACUGAAGCGGGGACCCUGGAGCUGUGAGGAGACAACGCUACCCACUGCAUCACCACACUGCUCAUAGAUCCACAGAGUUCCCCUUUUGUAUAGAUGAUAAUGAAUCAAAAACAGAACAGCUGUGUAACGCUAAACUGGAAAUUAGCUGUUAUUGUUAUUUGAAAUCAAUUUAUUCAUUAUUAUUUAUUUACUGAAUUUAUUUUUUUGAAUUUUGUCAAAGUAAUGAAAGUGUCACAGUUCAGUCCACAUCGACCGCGCUUGAGUUUUGGAAGGCAUGCAACUUAAAAAAAACAAAAGCUCUCUCUCUAUGUAUAUAUGUAUGUAUGUAAUAAUGCAAAGUGUAAUAGAAAAGUCAUUUACUUGUAACUGUCACGUCUUCAUUCUGGUCUUAGCUGUAAAUAGAUGCGUGUGAAUUUCACACCUUUUUCUGCUGUCUCUCAUAUAAAAUGCAGGAAGUGAAGAUGGUCACUGACAGAGGGACAGCAGAAAAAGGUGUGAAAUUCACACGCAUCUAUUUACAGCUAAGACCAGAAUGAAGAAGUGACGUACAGGUUACAGGAAAAUAGGCUACUAAAAAUUUGAGCUUGAUCUCUUGUACAUCAUUUUAUAAUCGAAGUAUUGGACGAAUUAAAUUAAUCUUUGUAUCUAAUCUUUAUAUCUUUGUAUUUAAUCUCUUAAUAUUUAUGUGUAAUAGUUAGAAUAAUUGACUAUUAUUAAUGUCUUAAUAAUGCGAGAUUAAUCUGAAAAUAAACGAAAGACAUACAAUACAGUUUAGCGUAAUUGUGCAGUUGUCAACAACAGGGGUGUCGCUAAACCCUUUUUACUGGGACACGAGUCUUUUUGAAGUGAUUUGUUCAUUUAGGAGGCUGGUUAGUUAGUUUACUCAUAAAAAUGUUAAUAAAACACACCUGCCUGUAAUUUUCUGCGUAUAAAUCUUUGGUUAGAUGUUUCAGGUGUGUGUGAUUAGGGAUGGAGUUAAACUCUGCAGGACAGUGCAGUGGCCUCAGGACCGGAAUCGCCCAUCCCUGGUUUAGGAGAUAAUUUCACAGUUUCAGUGGUUUCUUCCAUUAUAUUGUCUGGUAUUUGUGUAAAUAAAACAUAAUGAAUUUGUUUUUGGGGACUAGGUUUCUGAUGGACUAGGAUUGGAGAGGAAGGAUUUUAAAUGUAAUGAUAAUGUUGAUAUAUUUGUUGUUUUAUAUACAGGUUAUUUCAAAAGUCACUACUGUAUUAAUGUGAUGGGAUUUCAGAUACAAGCUUUUUAUUUCAAAAAAUCAUUUCUUCUCUUGUCUUUUUGAACAGAGUGUAUAUCUAUGUGUGUUUAUUUCAGGAGUUUUAAUAGAAAUGAGGUAUAGUAAAUAUCAAAUAAAAUGUAAACUUGCAUUGAUGAAGUUAAUGUUGUUAGUAAUUGUUUAAAAAUGACCAUGGUAAAACAGCGUUCCAAGGUUUAAAAAUAUAGUUUGUCUGUCAUUUAACCAAACAAUAACCAGUUUUGAUACCUAAAAAAGUUUAAAGUAAAUAAAUAAAACU